rnacentral:sRNA from 1 species
AAAAACUGUACAAAAUUUACAUUCAUUAAUCAAAGGCUAAUUAUAGUUUCUUAAAAUAUAUUAUUUAAAUACUAUUUUAUGUUUGAAUAAUUUUCACAACAAAAGAAAAUCAUCCUUAUUUGAAAGUUGAAACCUUAACUCACCACAUAAUUUUAUGUUAUUUUUCCGAAGAAUGUCGAUGUUAGAUAAAUACUAACAUAUAGUUUUUCGAGGAAAUCACGGGUUUACGUUUUUUGGCGGGAAAAUCAUGGGUUUACGUUUAUGCGGGAAAAUCACGAGUUUACGUUUUUGGCGGAAAAAUUACGGGUUUACGUUUUUGGCGGGAAAAUCACGGGUUUACGUUUUUGGCGGGAAAAUCACGGGUUUACGUUUUUUGGCGGGAAAAUCACGGGUUUACGUUUUUGGCGGGAAUAUCACAGGUUUUGGUUUUUGGCGGGAAUAUCACAGGUUUUGGUUUUUGGCGGGAAAAUUACGGAUUUACGUUUUUGGCGGGAAAAUCACGGUUUUACAUUUUUGUCGGGAAAAUCACGGGUUUACGUUGUUGGCGGGAAAAUUACGGGUUUACGUUUUUGGCGGGAAAAUCACAGGUUUUGUUUUUUGGCGAGAAAAUUACGGAUUUACGUUUUUGGCGGGAAAAUCACGGUUUUACGUUUUUGGCGGGAAAAUCACGGGUUUACUUUGUUGGCGAGAAAAUCACGGAUUUAUGUUUUUUGGUGGAAAAAUUACGAGUUUAUUUUUUCUCAAUUUCAUCGCUUGUAUAUUUAAGAAAUUUGGAAAAAUAUUGAUUUUAUUAAAUUGGUUUAGAUGUGUUGGUUAAGCUUAAAUUGAUAUUGGUUUAGAGAUUUUAGUUGGUUUAAUUCAAUUUUACAAAAAUUGAUGGGUUAAUUGGGUAAACAAUUGAAACCAUUAACCAUUACAACCCAACUCAUUUGACUCAUCAAACAAAUUGAUCCAAUAACUCAUUUGACUCAUCAACUCAUUUGAGUCAAAAAAUUUAACUCAUUAGGGUUCAUGGGUUGAGUUGAGUUGAGUUGGCCCAUGAAUUUUGACCCAUUUUGACACCCCUAUUUGAAACCUUAACUCACCACAUAAUUUUAUGUUAUUUUUCUGAAGAAUGUCGAUGUUAGAUAAAUACUAA